rnacentral:rRNA from 1 species
AGAGUUUGAUCAUGGCUCAGAACGAACGCUGGCGGCAUGCCUAACACAUGCAAGUCGAACGAUGCUUUCGGGCAUAGUGGCGCACGGGUGCGUAACGCGUGGGAACGUGCCUUCCGGUUCGGAAUAACCCUGGGAAACUAGGGCUAAUACCGGAUACGCCCUUAUGGGGAAAGGUUUACUGCCGGAAGAUCGGCCCGCGUCUGAUUAGCUAGUUGGUGGGGUAACGGCCUACCAAGGCGACGAUCAGUAGCUGGUCUGAGAGGAUGAUCAGCCACACUGGGACUGAGACACGGCCCAGACUCCUACGGGAGGCAGCAGUGGGGAAUAUUGGACAAUGGGCGCAAGCCUGAUCCAGCCAUGCCGCGUGAGUGAUGAAGGCCUUAGGGUUGUAAAGCUCUUUUAUCCGGGACGAUAAUGACGGUACCGGAGGAAUAAGCCCCGGCUAACUUCGUGCCAGCAGCCGCGGUAAUACGAAGGGGGCUAGCGUUGCUCGGAAUCACUGGGCGUAAAGGGCGCGUAGGCGGCGUUUUAAGUCGGGGGUGAAAGCCUGUGGCUCAACCACAGAAUGGCCUUCGAUACUGGGACGCUUGAGUAUGGUAGAGGUUGGUGGAACUGCGAGUGUAGAGGUGAAAUUCGUAGAUAUUCGCAAGAACACCGGUGGCGAAGGCGGCCAACUGGACCAUUACUGACGCUGAGGCGCGAAAGCGUGGGGAGCAAACAGGAUUAGAUACCCCGGUAGUCC